UCUAUUGCUCCAAAAAUUCCAGAGUGGUAGCAUUCAUCACGGAGAUUUGUGAUGUCUAAUGUCACAAUUCAAGGAAGAGCUGAAAUCAGCAAUGAAUCAACACAUGGAUUUAAUGUCGGAUCUCGUUGAGAAAUUCAGUGGUGAACUUCGCGCUGGAUUGCAACCUGCUGUUGAUAAUUUCCGUAGCUUGUUCCAUGCAAUCGAUUGGAAGGGCAUUUAUCAAAUUCCAACUUGUAGAGAGAAUUGUUGCUGCUGUUGUUUAGAUCACCAUCGUCACGAAAACCUUGAAACUCAGUAGAGUCCUGUGCCGGUGCUUGCUAACAGCUCCCAACUACACAAGUGGAGCUUCAUUUGAGAGACAAAGAUAUCUGAUCACGAGGAACCAGGUAGCAAGAAGGCACAGCAAUUGACAUUUCUUAAAGCAGUCAGAUGUUGUUGCAGCUAGAGUCCGACCGAGACAUAAUUCCGAGGCAUUUGAAUCACACUGACAAGUUCUUCUCUGUUCAACUUGUCAUUCAGGCACAACAACCGAAUAGCACAACAAGUUUCAAUCGGCGAGCAGUGGUGAUUGAAACCUUGCAUGCUUCUGGUGAUCAAACCACUGAUUUUGACUGGUAUGUGAAGUGUCCAGUUCUUGGAGGAAUCUAUUCUGCGGCUGUGGUUUAAAACAUGCUGACUGAUAAUUCACCAGCUUCAUUUGAGAGGAUACGAAGAUGUCUGAUCACGAGGUACCAGUUAGCAAGAAGGCACACCAAUUGACAUUUCCUAAAGCAGUCAGAUGUUGUUGCAGCUAGAGUCCGACCAUGACAUCAUUCCGAGGCAUUUGAAUCACACUGACGAGUUCUUCUCUGUUCAACUUAUCAUUCAGGCAUAACAACCGAAUAUCACAACAACUUCCAAUCGGCGAGCAGUGGUGAUUGAAAUCUUGCAUGCUUCUAGUGACCAGACAACUGAUAUUGGCUGGUAUGUGAAGUGUACAGUUCUUGGAGGAAUCUACUCUGCGGCUGUGGUUUAAAACAUGCUGACUGAUAAUUCACCAGACUUCCGUGACACACAGGCAUUUUGUAAGGCGCCGAGUGAAAGAUACAUGUUACAUUUGAUCUAAAGAAGACUGUUUCAAGAGCAUUAGUAUUUGGCGGAAGACGUUGGCGCUAGAAUAGGAAGCACAAUCCAUGGUCUAGAUGGAGUUUCGUACAUAUUUCUGUGCAGAAUUGAGCACCUGAGAAGACUAUAUCAUUCUCGAG